GACGAACGCUGGCGGCGUGCUUAACACAUGCAAGUCGAACGAAGUGGCGAACGGGUGAGUAAAAUGUGGGUAACUUGCCCCCCAUCUGGGUAAAAACCUGGGACAAGGGGACUAAUACAGAACAAAGGGGGAAGGGUUCGCGGCCUAUCAGCUUGUUGGUGGGGUGAUGGCCCAACCAGGCGGUGACGGGUAGCCGGGAUGAGAGGGUGACCGGCCAUAGUGGGACUGAGAUACGGCCCAGACUCCCACGGGAGGCAGCAGUGGGGGAUAUUGCACAAUUGGCGAAAGCCUGAUGCAGCGAGUACGAGUGGGGGAUGAAGGCUUUAGGGUUGUAAACCUCUUUCGCUAUCGAACGGGUAGGUGGAGAAGAAGCGCCGGCUAACUACGUGCCAGCAGCCGCGGUGAUUC
rnacentral:rRNA from 1 species